AUAUCAGUAAGCGGAGGAAAGAGAAACUAACAAGGAUUCCCCUAGUAACUGCGAGUGAAGCGGGAAUAGCUCGUCUUUGAAAUCCGUUCAAAUCGGAAUUGUAAGAUGUGAAUCAUUGUAAUCAUCAUAUUUGUAUUCGAGUCCUUUGGAACAAGGCACCAUAGAGGGUGAUAGUCCCGUAGAAUACACACAUGAUCAUGAUUACAACACGUAUAUUCAACGAGUCGAGCUGUUUGGGAUUGCAGCUCAAAGAAGGGUGGUAAAUCUCAUCCAAGGCUAAAUAUUACCAAGAGACCGAUAGCGCACAAGUA
rnacentral:rRNA from 1 species